CUUUUAUUAUGUUGGUGUAUAUCUGGUUUGAUAUUAGUGUUUAAUAGCUUAAUUUGUGUAUUUGUUAUUUAAGCCAAGUCUAUGUGCUGCUUGUAAAAGGUUUCAUGCGUUACAUUUAUAAGUUUGGUUAUGUAAUUAACUUUGUAAAUUGAGGACUUAAAAGUAAUGUAGAAUAAGUUUGUUUACAUGAAAAGGGUUUAGCUUGGGUACACACCGCCCGUCACACA
rnacentral:rRNA from 1 species